rnacentral:rRNA from 1 species
AAAUUGAAGAGUUUGAUCAUGGCUCAGAUUGAACGCUGGCGGCAGGCCUAACACAUGCAAGUCGAACGGUAACAGGAAGCAGCUUGCUGCUUUGCUGACGAGUGGCGGACGGGUGAGUAAUGUCUGGGAAACUGCCUGAUGGAGGGGGAUAACUACUGGAAAUACUGGAAA